GGGUGCCUGGUAUGUUCGUUACCCCUGUUUUUGAACCUUCAUGACAUGAACGGGAGCUCGGGUUAAUGUGGAAUACGGUCACGGCCCCGGACUACGGUCCGACAGGGAAGACUUAAGACCACUGCAGGGCACCCACCUGGUAGUAAUGCUGGGUGUCAAAAGGGGGUACGGCAUCCCGGGCAUUCU
rnacentral:other from 1 species